UGGCGCAAAAGACUUUGAUAACAAGUGUGUUUUCUAAUUCUCAUUAACUUUAUGCACCUUUGUGGACAAUUUUGUUUCAAUGAUGCAGGGUAUAGUUCUAUUGUUGCAAUUAUUCAAUUUUAGCAGUGAUAUUGUUGUUGUGUGCUUAUUAUGUGUGCUUAGAGUGCUUUCCGUGUUGGUAUUAUUGCUAUUGCCGUUGGAGAAGUGGUUUCAUAUGCGAUCUUAUCGCUCGUUGUGAUUAGGUCUGGACGGGAAUACAAACAAACAAAAAAGCAUAUUUGUGUCUUCCAGAUUGAUACACUAGAUAUGUGAUGUGUGCGAUAUGAUUCAACAUGAGUCCAGACAUCGCCCAAUAGGAAAUAUAGAGAAAAGAACUCGGACAUACUAUGCUAUCGAGACAGAAAAUGUUGUUAUAGAAAACGUAGAAACUUAAAAUGAACUGACAGCUAAAAAGAGGCGAAGGCUCUUCCGCAAUCGCACAAAAAACAUUCUUAUUGCUAGCAAAGCCACAACUAGAAGGGGGUUAUCUGUAACGAAUGGUUCUGUAGGCAGUUGCUGGCCGAUCUGAGGUUUAUGCCCCAAAACUUUCGGAUCUUCCGAAAGCGCAUCAUUUACCUUGUCAGGUGUCUUACGUUAUUUUAUCUGAAGCGUUAUGCCCUUAAAUGUAUUUCACUGUUUCUAAGUAACUGACAUCUAUUAAUCAAAAGUGUUCACACAGUUCGUUACAUGACCUGUUUUGUUUCAUUUUGGUACCUUUUGCAGAAGCAUAGAAGAGUUAGGUCUGUGGAUGGUUAAUUUGUGGAGUUUCUCGAACCACCUCGAACCAAAUUGUAUUGCUAUGCGGGUUACUAAAGAAGCGAUCGAAUGUCAUACAAAAAUGACCAUGGGAUGUUGCAUAGCAAUACACAUGAGCCAUUAGUUACACAUUGUUGCAUACAAUAAAAGUCUUGCCGGAUGUGUAACUGCGGAUUGGAGUUGUGCACUAUAGUCGCACGAUUAUAAGAUCGCUAUGCGAAUGGAAGUUGCUGGCCACUUUUUUCAAUGUCUUUGACAGCGAAUGUAACUCCGUUGCUUGUCAAAUAGAAAAUCGUAUAAAAUCGAUCUUAAUGGUUAGAAAUUUGUAACAUUUUUUCAUAUCGUUUUAAAGUAAUCAUCUCACAAUAUGAUCAUAUGUUUGGUGAUAGUGCAGACGUACUUGUUUAUCGGUGUAGAAGUCUUCGUUACAAGGUACGAUAAGGAGAUUAUCAAGAAGUAGUUUUUGAAAGAUUUACCCUUUGAUGAAUUUGUGCUGAUGGACAGCUUCUUCCUUAUGUAGUUUACAACGGUUGCAAUCGAAAAUCGAAGGACUAAAGAAAUGUUUAAGUGAGUUUUACUAAUUAGGGACUCAGGGAUUUUAGACAGCAAUAUUUUUAAAAGACACAUAAGACACAGAUAGCGGCUAUGAUGUUCAAAUUUAAUUCAAUAUAUUUAUUUAUUUUUUUCAAAUUUCAAUAAUUCAUUGGUUGUACCAUAUUUAUAUUGUUUUACUUAAUGAAUAUUUUUCUUAAUGAAACUGUCCAUAGUAAGUUGUUUUGUCGAGCUUAUGUUGUCUUUACUAGUUAAAAUGGCCCGCUUACAGGGCAACGCAACGUUUAUUGGGACAUAUACGUCUUUUCAACGAUAUAAGAAUUGCACUUCAAAUAAUCAUUUUGUCAUUCCUUUGUCCUGUGUAAUCCUCUGUAUCCUCUGUAAAAGAUUUUUUCGUGUGCUAAUAUUAUUUAUAACAAACAUUGCAGUGUAUAGGAUUUGAUCCUUCACAAACACAAUACCCUAAAUUUGCCCCCCAGCAUGCUCCGCCGGAUGCACUGCUGCAGGACCUGGAUAUUGGUACCAAACAAAACGAUUGGCAGUAUCUGUCGAAAGUCGCCACAUACCAGCACCUAUAACGUCCUGCAGGGCGUGAUCGAGGGCGCGAUCUUCUAUAGCAGGGGUCUCCAAACUACGGCCCACGGGCCACAUGCGGCCCUCGAGAGCCUAUUAUUAGCAUCCCGUUUACGCAAUAAUAGUUUCGAACAGAAACGGCUUCCCGGUGCUACCAAAGUUCUGUCAAAGAAAAAGUUCUGUCCAUGUUUAUCCUCUCGGCUGGAUUGUUCUGUUAAACCGUAACUAUCCACUGUUGCGGUAAUUACAUCGUAAUUCAUUAUUCGUUGUUCAAACGGUUCACGUAUACUAAUAUGUUGUCCAGCUCCGCGUCCACUAGGGAAAAUAUUUCGGCAACGGAUAAGGCGCAUUGUAGCAGGUCUGGUCCUAUCUGCAUAAAGUCGGAUAACUGCGGCAAACUCGGAAACAUCGUCAGCGUCUUCUGCGGCGCUAUUUCGCUCAGGUGCUGAUCAAUGAGUCGCAGCACUUCGAGGCGCUUGAGCUGUCAAGCAGCCGAUUCUGCUCGGAGUGUGAACGGUGCACCGGCUCUGAUUUCGCAGACUUUCAGAAAUUCGGUUCACGUUUGCGUCCUACAAUAAAAGAGGAUUCGGGGACAUUCCCUCCGACAAUAUAAGGGAAAAUAGGUGACGCAGAUGUUGAGCAUUCCAAAUGAAACUGCUUCCUGUAGGGUCCUGGAUAUUUUGGUGUCGUCCCGCAGAAAUCCAGACAUCAACAGUACACCAUGCGGUCAAUAACGAUAUCAGUCUGGCAGCGAUGUGUGAUCCACUGGUUACCCGUACCAACAUACCAUGGAAGCUGCUGCAAUUAAU